ACGGCCACACUGGCACUGAAACACGGGCCAGACUCCUACGGGAGGCAGCAGUGGGGAAUCUUGCACAAUGGGGGAAACCCUGAUGCAGCGACGCCGCGUGAGCGAUGAAGCCCUUCGGGGUGUAAAGCUCUUUCGGCAGGGACGAUUAUGACGGUACCUGCAGAAGCAGCUGCGGCUAACUACGUGCCAGCAGCCGCGGUAAUACGUAGGCAGCAAGCGUUGUUCGGAGUUACUGGGCGUAAAGGGUGUGUAGGCGGCUCUCUAAGUUUGGUGUGAAAUCUCCCGGCUCAACCGGGAGGGUGCGCCGAAAACUGGGGGGCUAGAGUGCGGGAUGGGAGAGUAGAAUUCCUGGUGUAGCGGUGAAAUGCGUAGAUAUCAGGAGGAAUACCGGUGGUGUAGACGGCUCUCUGGACCGCAACUGACGCUGAGACACGAAAGCGUGGGUAGCAAACAGGAUUAGAUACCCUGGUAGUCCACGCCCUAAACGAUGCAUAUUUGGUGUAGGUCAUUCAGUUGAUCUGUGCCGGAGCUAACGCGUUAAAUAUGCCGCCUGGGGAGUACAGUCGCAAGGCUGAAACUCAAAGGAAUUGACGGGGGCCCGCACAAGCGGUGGAGCAUGUGGUUCAAUUCGACGCAACGCGAAGAACCUUACCUGGGCUCGAACGGCUAGUCAACGAUCGUGGAAACACGGUUACUCCGCAAGGGGGUCUAGUCGAGGUGCUGCAUGGCUGUCGUCAGCUCGUGUCGUGAGAUGUUGGGUUAAGUCCCGCAACGAGCGCAACCCUUGUCCUGUGUUGCCAUGCCGAAAGGCGGAACUCGCAGGAGACCGCCAGCGAUAAGCUGGAGGAAGGUGGGGAUGACGUCAAGUCCUCAUGGCCUUUAUGUCCAGGGCUACACACGUGCUACAAUGGCCGGUACAAUGCGCUGCUAAGUCGCAAGACGGAGCCAAUCGCAAAAAACCGGUCUCAGUUCGGAUUGCAGGCUGCAACUCGCCUGCAUGAAGCUGGAAUCGCUAGUAAUGGCAGAUCAGCACGCUGCCGUGAAUACGUUCCCGGGCCUUGUACACACCGCCCGUCACAUCACGAAAGUGGAUUGUACUAGAAGUCCGCAGUCUGACCCGCAAGGGGAGCAGCGGCCCAAGGUAUGAUUCAUGAUUGGGGUGAAGUCGGAACAAGGUAGCCGUAGGAGAACCUGCGGCUG
rnacentral:rRNA from 1 species